CACGUAGGGCGCAAGCGUUGUUCGGAAUUACUGGGCGUAAAGGGCGCGUAGGCGGCAUGGCAAGUCGGGAGUGAAAGGCCUGGGCUCAACCGAGGAACUGCUUUCGAGACUGCCAAGCUAGAGUGCGGAAGGGGCAUCUGGAAUUCCCAGUGUAGCGGUGAAAUGCGUAGAUAUUGGGAAGAACACCUGAGGCGAAGGCGGGAUGCUGGGCCGACACUGACGCUGAGGCGCGAAAGCCAGGGGAGCAAACGGG
rnacentral:rRNA from 1 species